rnacentral:misc_RNA from 1 species
AAGACUAUAGACCUGCGGAGUACCUGCGGAGGGAUCAUUACAGAAAUAAACUUGGUGGAUUGUUUGCUGGCUCUUUUCUAAAGAGUACUGUGCACGUCUGUCAUUUUUAUCUUUCCACCAUGUGCACCCUGCAUAGGUCUGAUAAUCAAAGUUCUCUUGAACUCUGAGGUUUUUCUUUGGGAAUUGCAAUUUUUACAAAUUGCUCUUGCCCUACAUUCAGGCCCUAUGUUUUAUUCUAUA